GACGAACGCUGGCGGCGUGCUUAACACAUGCAAGUCGAACGAAAAGGCCCUGCUUUUUUGGUGUGCUCCAGUGGCUAUCGGGUGUGUAACACGUACGUAACCUGCCCUUGACUUUGGGAUAACUUCAGGAAACUGGGGACAAUACCGGAUAGGAGCUCCUGCUGCAUGAGGGGGGUUGAUAAGAUUCGGCGGUUGGGGAUGGGCUGGCGGCUUAUCAGCUUGUUGGGUGGGUAUUGGCUUACCAAGGCUUUGACGGGUAGCCGGCCUGAGAGGGUUAGCGGACAGAUCGCGACUGAGAUAAGGCACAGACUCCAACGGGAGGCAGCGGAGGAGAAGAGAGUACAACAGGAUGGAGGCUAGUGUAACAACGCCGCGUGGGGGAAGACAGCAUGCAGGUUGGAAAGCGAUGUUGCAUGUGACGAAGAGAGAGUGACGGUAACGGAUAAAGAAGCACCGGCUAAAUACGUG
rnacentral:rRNA from 1 species